rnacentral:rRNA from 1 species
GAUGAACGCUGGCGGCGUGCCUAAUACAUGCAAGUCGAGCGAACGGACGAGAAGCUUGCUUCUCUGAUGUUAGCGGCGGACGGGAGAGUAACACGUGGAUAACCUACCUAUAAGACUGGGAUAACUUCGGGAAACCGGAGCUAAUACCGGAUAAUAUUUUGAACCGCAUGGUUCAAAAGUGAAAGACGGUCUUGCUGUCACUUAUAGAUGGAUCCGCGCUGCAUUAGCUAGUUGGUAAGGUAACGGCUUACCAAGGCAACGAUGCAUAGCCGACCUGAGAGGGUGAUCGGCCACACUGGAACUGAGACACGGUCCAGACUCCUACGGGAGGCAGCAGUAGGGAAUCUUCCGCAAUGGGCGAAAGCCUGACGGAGCAACGCCGCGUGAGUGAUGAAGGUCUUCGGAUCGUAAAACUCUGUUAUUAGGGAAGAACAUAUGUGUAAGUAACUGUGCACAUCUUGACGGUACCUAAUCAGAAAGCCACGGCUAACUACGUGCCAGCAGCCGCGGUAAUACGUAGGUGGCAAGCGUUAUCCGGAAUUAUUGGGCGUAAGCGCGCGUAGGCGGUUUUUUAGUCUGAUGUGAAAGCCCACGCUCACCCGUGGAGGGUCAUUGGAAACUGGAAAACUUGAGUGCCCUUGAGGAAAGUGGAAUUCCUUGUGUAGCGGUGAAAUGCGCAGAGAUAUGGAGGAACACCAGUGGCGAAGGCGACUUUCUGGUCUGUAACUGACGCUGAUGUGCGAAAGCGUGGGGAUCAAACAGGAUUAGAUACCCUUGGUAGUCCACGCCGUAAACGAUGAGUGCUAAGUGUUAGGGGGUUUCCGCCCCUUAGUGCUGCAGCUAACGCAUUAAGCACUCCGCCUGGGGAGUACGACCGCAAGGUUGAAACUCAAAGGAAUUGACGGGGACCCGCACAAGCGGUGGAGCAUGUGGUUUAAUUCGAAGCAACGCGAAGAACCUUACCAAAUCUUGACAUCCUUUGACAACUCUAGAGAUAGAGCCUUCCCCUUCGGGGGACAAAGUGACAGGUGGUGCAUGGUUGUCGUCAGCUCGUGUCGUGAGAUGUUGGGUUAAGUCCCGCAACGAGCGCAACCCUUAAGCUUAGUUGCCAUCAUUAAGUUGGGCACUCUAAGUUGACUGCCGGUGACAAACCGGAGGAAGGUGGGGAUGACGUCAAAUCAUCAUGCCCCUUAUGAUUUGGGCUACACACGUGCUACAAUGGACAAUACAAAGGGCAGCGAAACCGUGAGGUCAAGCAAAUCCCAUAAAGUUGUUCUCAGUUCGGAUUGUAGUCUGCAACUCGACUACAUGAAGCUGGAAUCGCUAGUAAUCGUAGAUCAGCAUGCUACGGUGAAUACGUUCCCGGGUCU